GACGAACGCUGGCGGUGUGCUUAACACAUGCAAGUCGAGCGUGAAGCGGAGAGCUUGCUCUCCGUGGAAAGCGGCGAACGGGUGAGUAACACGUGGGCAACCUGCCCCAGACUCUGGGAUAACUCCGGGAAACCGGGGCUAAUACCGGAUACUCCGAUCGGAUCACAUGUUCUGAUCGGGAAAGCUCCGACGGUCUGGGGGGGGCCCGGGGCCUAUCAGCUUGUUGGUGGGGGAAUGGCCUACCAAGGCGGCGACGGGUAGGUGGCGUGAGAGCGUGGCCAGCCACACUGGGACUGAGACACGGCCCAGACUCCUACGGGAGGCAGCAGUGGGGAAUCUUGCGCAAUGAGCGAAAGCUUGACGCAGCGACACCGCGUGAGGGAUGAAGGCCCUCGGGUUGUAAACCUCUUUCGGCAGGGACGAAGCGGAAGUGACGGUACCUGCAGAAGAAGCUCCGGCUAACUACGUGCCAGCCGCCGCCGUAAUAC
rnacentral:rRNA from 1 species